rnacentral:rRNA from 1 species
AUACGGAGGAUCCAAGCGUUAUCCGGAUUUAUUGGGUUUAAAGGGUGCGUAGGCGGUAGCUUAAGUCAGCGGUGAAAGUUUGGAGCUCAACUCUAAAAUUGCCGUUGAAACUGGGUUACUUGAGUACGGUAGAGGUAUGCGGAAUGCGUGGUGUAGCGGUGAAAUGCUUAGAUAUCACGCAGAACCCCAAUUGCGAAGGCAGCAUACUGGACCGUUAACUGACGCUGAGGCACGAAAGCGUGGGGAUCAAACAGGAUUAGAUACCCUGGUAGUCCACGCCGUAAACUAUGAAUGCUAGCUAUUGGCGAUAUACAGUCAGUGGCACAGAGAAAUCGUUAAGCAUUCCACCUGGGGAGUACGCCGGCAACGGUGAA